rnacentral:rRNA from 1 species
AUUGAACGCUGGCGGCAUGCUUUACACAUGCAAGUCGAACGGCAGCGCGGGCUUCGGCCUGGCGGCGAGUGGCGCACGGGUGAGUAAUACAUCGGAACGUGCCCAGUAGUGGGGGAUAGCACGGCGAAAGCCGGAUUAAUACCGCAUACGACCUGAGGGUGAAAGCGGGGGAUCUUCGGACCUCGCGCUAUUGGAGGGGCCGAUGGCAGAUUAGCUAGUUGGUGGGGUAAAGGCCUACCAAGGCGACGAUCUGUAGCUGGUCUGAGAGGACGACCAGCCACACUAGGACUGAGACACGGCCCAGACUCCUACGGGAGGCAGCAGUGGGGAAUGUUAGACAAUGGGCGAAAGCCUGAUCCAGCAAUGCCGCGUGUGUGAUGAAGGCGUUCGGGUUGUAAAGCACUUUUGGCGGGAACGAAAAGGACUGUGCCAAUACCACGGUUCGAUGACGGUACCCGCAGAAUAAGCACCGGCUAACUACGUG